rnacentral:rRNA from 1 species
GACGAACGCUGACGGCGUGCCUAAUACAUGCAAGUAGAACGCUGAAGCUUGGUGCUUGCACCGAGCGGAUGAGUUGCGAACGGGUGAGUAACGCGUAGGUAACCUGCCUGGUAGCGGGGGAUAACUAUUGGAAACGAUAGCUAAUACCGCAUAACAGUAGAUAUCGCAUGAUAGCUACUUGAAAGGUGCAAAUGCACCACUACCAGAUGGACCUGCGUUGUAUUAGCUAGUUGGUGAGGUAACGGCUCACCAAGGCAACGAUACAUAACCGACCUGAGAGGGUGAUCGGCCACAAUGGGACUGAGACACGGCCCAGACUCCUACGGGAGGCAGCAGUAGGGAAUCUUCGGCAAUGGACGGAAGUCUGACCGAGCAACGCCGCGUGAGUGAAGAAGGUUUUCGGAUCGUAAAGCUCUGUUGUAAGAGAAGAACGAGUGUGAGAGUGGAAAGUUCACACUGUGACGGUAUCUUACCAGAAAGGGACGGCUAACUACGUG